AAAAAACCUACUUUAAUUCCCUUACAAGCCCAAAAAGUUUUCAUCUAAUUAUGGAAGUACACAAUAAAUUUGAUUACAUUUUUCUGAAAAAUUUUGUUAACAAAUAUGAGGAACAAAAAUUGGCACUGUCUCUCGGUCAGAUGUUGCAUUGUUGAUUAAGCACAACAAUCAUUCAAACAAAUUGGUGAGGGUGCAAUUGAG
rnacentral:lncRNA from 1 species